GUUGAAACAUCGCUUCUCGUACGAUCAUCGAAGUUAAACAACAUUGAGCUUGGUCAGUACCUAGAUGGGGGAUCACUUGGGAAUACCAGCUGC